rnacentral:lncRNA from 1 species
AUUUAUUACUAGGGAGCAUAUCUCUUCCAUGUAUUGAAAGAUCCGAACUGAAUUUCGUGGUUAGUGGCUGGUCAAAUGUAGAUGCAUAAGGGUUGAAAUGAAUUGAAAUUCUGGAUCCAACAAAGUCAGGCAACCGAGGAGCUUGAUUCUGGUCUAACGAAUCAGAUGAAUACCUUGACAUAGAGGAACUACCUCCAGGCUCAACAAGAUGUCGAGAAAUACCAGCUGUCUGAGGACCACAGUGCGGCUGUUGCAUGUAAGGGUAACUCGUAGAAGA